rnacentral:rRNA from 1 species
AUUGAACGCUGGCGGCAGGCUUAACACAUGCAAGUCGAGCGAGCGGCGGACGGGUGCGUAAUGUCUGGGAAACUGCCUGAUGGAGGGGGAUAACUCCUUGACACGGUAGCUAAUACCGCAUACCAUCAGAUGUGCCCAGAUGGGAUUAGCUAGUAGGUGGGGUAAUGGCUCACCUAGGCGACGAUCCCUAGCUGGUCUGAGAGGAUGACCAGCCACACUGGAACGUAGACACGGUCCAGAAACCUGCGGGAGGGAGCGGUGGGGAAUAUUGGACAAUGGGGGAAAGCCUGAUGCAGCCAUGCCGGGUGUGUGAAGAAGGCCUUCGGGUUGUAAAGCACUUUCAGCGAGGAGGCGUUACUCGCAGGAGAAGCAGCGGCUAACGCCGUGCCAGCCGCCGCGGUAAUUC